rnacentral:rRNA from 1 species
GCACAACGCGAAGAACCUUACCUACUCUUGACAUCCAGAGAACUUAGCAGAGAUGCUUUGGUGCCUUCGGGAACUCUGAGACAGGUGCUGCAUGGCUGUCGUCAGCUCGUGUUGUGAAAUGUUGGGUUAAAUCCCGCAACGAGCGCAACCCUUAUCCUUUGUUGCCAGCGGUUCGGCCGGGAACUCAAAGGAGACUGCCAGUGAUAAACUGGAGGAAGGUGGGGAUGACGUCAAGUCAUCAUGGCCCUUACGAGUAGGGCUACACACGUGCUACAAUGGCAUAUACAAAGAGAAGCGACCUCGCGAGAGCAAGCGGACCUCAUAAAGUACGUCGUAGUCCGGAUUGGAGUCUGCAACUCGACUCCAUGAAGUCGGAAUCGCUAGUAAUCGUAGAUCAGAAUGCUACGGUGAAUACGUUCCCGGGUCUUGUACACACCG